UACGUAGGGGGCAAGCGUUGUCCGGAAUCAUUGGGCGUAAAGCGCGUGUAGGCGGCUCGAUAAGUCUGCUGUGAAAGUCCAGGCUCAACCCUGGGAUGCCGGUGGAUACUGUCGAGCUCGAGUCCGGAAGAGGCGAGUGGAAUUCCUGGUGUAGCGGUGAAAUGCGCAGAUAUCAGGAGGAACACCGAUGGCGAAGGCAGCUCGCUGGGACGUGACUGACGCUGAGACGCGAAAGCGUGGGGAGCGAACAGG
rnacentral:rRNA from 1 species